AUUUCAAGUGCUUUAACAAGCCGAUGCCGUUAGCUAUAAUAUUCACUUAACGGCAGGAGGGAAUCCCGUGAAAAUCGGGAGUGAGCCCGUCGCUGUAAUCAGGGACGUUUAGCGCAGUGUGCCACUGACAUCUGUUGGGAAGGCGCGUUAGACGGUAGAUCUGAAAGCCAGAAGACCUGCUUGAAAUUCUAGUUUAUA
rnacentral:ncRNA from 2 species